AUCUUAAUUGUCUUUUCACAUUCAGUGGUGGUGUCUGCUUCCUGUGAAACACCAAAGGAGACUGUACCAGCUGAAUCUGCCGACACAACCACCUCGAGCAGCCAUGAGACAGGAGAUCCUGUAGUGCCGCCCACCACAGACAGCGCCAACCAAAACAAGGACAGCGACGCCCCCGCUGUAGAGCUGGAUCAUAGUCAGCCUGAAACUAAGGUUGAAGAGGAAACAGCAGUGGAUUCUUCAGAUCAACCGUCCUCAGGUGCUGUUCUUAUUACCAGCUUUGAGACUGUGGAAUUUCGAAAGAAAUGCCUUACUUCAGCUGACUUCUAACAACUAACCGACGUCCUCCCCUUUUCUUCACACACUUGAGUCUUUCUGGUCUCUCUGUCUCUCCCUCCCUGUUCACUACACUCAUGUCUCCUUUAUGUUCCCGUGUCCAUCUGUCUCAUGGCAUGAGAUGGCAUCUGCUAUUGAGCUUGUUUCUGUCGUCUUUGACAAAUGAGAAUGCAGCUCCUCGGGCUAUGACAGUCCUCCCCCUCCUCUGGGACUGACUGCUUCUGUCUGCAGCUUCACACUUGCUGUCAUUCUCCACUGUGAACCUUGCACACCUCCUCCAGCAUGACUAAAAUACCGCAUUUAUUGUGCUCCUGAAUCCCCUCAGUGUCUUUCAUGCACCUCUUUGAUUUCACACCUUUCCCUGAAUGACAUGUUUGCAUUUGGGUUAUGGCUUUUUCCCCUUUCAUGCAUGUCACAAACUGCUUGAGCAAAUAAGUGUUGUUUUGAUUUUUAUUCAAUUUUUGCAAAUGCAUAUAUAUGUGUGAGUGUGUGAACUGCAAACAGGAAUGAUCUAUAACAGGGAUAGGCAACUUCGGUCCUGGAGGGCCACUGUCCUGCAGAGUUUAGCUCCAACCCUAAUUAAACACACCUGAACAAGGCAAUCAGUGUUUUCUGGAUUACUAGAUAGAUACAGGCAGGUGAGUUUUUAUGAGGGCUGAAGCUAAACUCUGCAGGAUAGUGGCCCUCCAGGACCGGAGUUGCCUAUCCCUGAUCUAUAACAUCAUCCCAACAGAAUCCCAUUUGAUCGCCAUUUAGGAUCAUUAUCAUUGAAGGGAAAGCAGCUUGGCUUUUCUCCCAGAGCAGCUUACAGAGAUGAAUUACACAGGGUAAACCGAAUGUGAUUCCUGAGACUGUAUAGCAUCUUAUUAAAUUUCAUGUCAUUUUAAUGUUCAUGUAUGAGUGAAUGUUUAUCAACCCACAUAGAAUGAAUAUAUCAAGUUCACCAGAGUGCAAAUGAGGGUAAAUUUCUUAAUCCAUUGUCUUUUCAUAUAGACUAAAAAAAUAAGUCCUCUAAGAAGAUCAGGGUUCCUGCGGUUUUAGAAAACCUGGAAAUAUCAGGACAUUUUUAGAAUGAUGCUUACCAGGUCUAGAAAAUAUAAUCUUCUAGUUAUGCUCUGUUUAAAAUUAUUUAAUAAGCUAGACUUUUUACUCAUUUUAAAUAAAAAAUUGAUAU
rnacentral:lncRNA from 1 species